AGGGGCGUGGUCUAGUGGCAUGACGACGGUCUCCAAAACCGUAGAUGGGGGUUCGAUUCCCUCCGCCCCUG
rnacentral:tRNA from 1 species